rnacentral:rRNA from 1 species
AUUGAACGCUGGCGGCAUGCCUUACACAUGCAAGUCGAACGGCAGCACGGGUGCUUGCACCUGGUGGCGAGUGGCGAACGGGUGAGUAAUACAUCGGAACAUGUCCUGUAGUGGGGGAUAGCCCGGCGAAAGCCGGAUUAAUACCGCAUACGAUCUACGGAUGAAAGCGGGGGACCUUCGUGCCUCGCGCUAUAGGGUUGGCCGAUGGCUGAUUAGCUCGUUGGUGGGGUAAAGGCCUACCAAGGCGACGAUCAGUAGCUGGUCUGAGAGGACGACCAGCCACACUGGGACUGAGACACGGUCCAGACUCCGAAGGGAGGCAGCAGUGGGGAAUUUUGGACAAUGGGCGAAAGCCUGAUCCAGCAAUGCCGCGUGUGUGAAGAAGGCCUUCGGGUUGUAAAGCACUUUUGUCCGGAAAGAAAUCCUUGGCCCUAAUACGGUCGGGGGAUGACGGUACCGGAAGAAUAAGCACCGGCUAACUACGUG